rnacentral:rRNA from 1 species
GUGGGGAAUAUUGGACAAUGGGCGCAAGCCUGAUCCAGCCAUGCCGCGUGCAGGAAGACGCAUCUAUGGUGUGUAAACUGCUUUUGUACGGGAAGAAACACUCCCUCGUGAGGGAGCUUGACGGUACCGAAAGAAUAAGGAUCGGCUAACUCCGUGCCAGCAGCCGCGGUAAUACGGAGGAUCCAAGCGUUAUCCGGAAUCAUUGGGUUUAAAGGGUCCGUAGGCGGUUUAAUAAGUCAGUGGUGAAAGCCCAUCGCUCAACGAUGGAACGGCCAUUGAUACUGUUAGACUUGAAUUACAAGGAAGUAACUAGAAUAUGUAGUGUAGCGGUGAAAUGCUUAGAUAUUACAUGGAAUACCAAUUGCGAAGGCAGGUUACUACUUGUGGAUUGACGCUGAUGGACGAAAGCGUGGGGAGCGAACAGGAUUAGAAACCCCGGUAGUCC